rnacentral:rRNA from 1 species
UACGUAGGGUGCAAGCGUUAAUCGGAAUUACUGGGCGUAAAGCGUGCGCAGGCGGCUUCGUAAGACAGAGGUGAAAUCCCCGGGCUCAACCUGGGAACUGCCUUUGUGACUGCGAGGCUUGAGUACGGCAGAGGGGGAUGGAAUUCCGCGUGUAGCAGUGAAAUGCGUAGAUAUGCGGAGGAACACCGAUGGCGAAGGCAGUCCCCUGGGCCUGUACUGACGCUCAUGCACGAAAGCGUGGGGAGCAAACAGGAUUAGAAACCCUAGUAGUCC